UACGUAGGGGGCGAGCGUUAUCCGGAAUUAUUGGGCGUAAAGCGCGCGCAGGCGGCCGAUUAAGUCAGGUGUGAAAGGCUGCGGCUCAACCGCAGAGCGGCACCUGAAACUGGUCGGCUUGAGUGCAGGAGAGGGGAGCGGAAUUCCCGGUGUAGCGGUGGAAUGCGUAGAGAUCGGGAGGAACACCAGUGGCGAAGGCGGCUCUCUGGCCUGUAACUGACGCUGAGGCGCGAAAGCGUGGGGAGCAAACAGG
rnacentral:rRNA from 1 species